rnacentral:pre_miRNA from 1 species
CUGGCACCGGUGCUGGGGAGCGGCCCCCCGGGCGGGCCUCUGCUCUGGCCCCUCCUGGGGCCCGCACUCUCGUUCCGGGCCCG